AUAUUUCAAAAUAUCAUACUCUUCUUUAACAGAAAAUGAGUGGGAAUCGAAGUCGUAUUCUACUAGACCUCGCUAGGAAAAUUUGUGAAA
rnacentral:lncRNA from 1 species